rnacentral:tRNA from 1 species
GGCAUAGCUCAGUUGGUAGAGCAGCGGUCUCCAAAACCGCGUGCCGUGAGUUCGAAUCUUACUGCCC